rnacentral:rRNA from 1 species
CGUCAAGUCAUCAUGGCCCUUACGCCCAGGGCUACACACGUGCUACAAUGGCGCUUACAAAGUGUUGCGAGCAGGUGACUGUGAGCCAAUCACAAAAAGAGCGUCUCAGUUCGGAUUGCAGGCUGCAACUCGCCUGCAUGAAGCCGGAAUCGCUAGUAAUCGCGGGUCAGCAUACCGCGGUGAAUGUGUUCCUGAGCCUU